rnacentral:rRNA from 1 species
UACGUAGGCAGCGAGCGUUGUUCGGAAUUACUGGGCGUAAAGAGUGUGUAGGCGGUGCUCUAAGUUCGGUGUGAAAUCUCCUGGCUCAACUGGGGGGGUGCGCCGGAAACUGGAGUGCUUGAGCGUGGGAGAGGAAAGCGGAAUUCCUGGUGUAGCGGUGAAAUGCGUAGAUAUCAGGAGGAACACCUGUGGUGUAGACGCUUUCUGGACCAUAGCUGACGCUGAGACACGAAAGCGUGGGUAGCAAACAGG